rnacentral:rRNA from 1 species
UCUUCCCUCUUUCCUCGUGCCUAAUACAUGCAAGUCGAGCGAACGGACGAGAAGCUUGCUUCUCUGAUGUUAGCGGCGGACGGGUGAGUACACGUGGAUAACCUACCUAUAAGACUGGGAUAACUUCGGGAAACCGGAGCUAAUACCGGAUAAUAUUUUGAACCGCAUGGUUCAAAAGUGAAAGACGGUCUUGCUGUCACUUAUAGAUGGAUCCGCGCUGCAUUAGCUAGUUGGUAAGGUAACGGCUUACCAAGGCAACGAUGCAUAGCCGACCUGAGAGGGUGAUCGGCCACACUGGAACUGAGACACGGUCCAGACUCCUACGGGAGGCAGCAGUAGAGAAUCUUCCGCAAUGGGCGAAAGCCUGACGGAGCAACGCCGCGUGAGUGAUGAAGGUCUUCGGAUCGUAAAACUCUGUUAUUAGGGAAGAACAUAUGUGUAAGUAACUGUGCACAUCUUGACGGUACCUAAUCAGAAAGCCACGGCUAGCUACGUG